rnacentral:rRNA from 1 species
UACGUAGGAUGCAAGCGUUGUCCGGAAUUAUUGGGCGUAAAGAGUUCGUAGGCGGUGAUCUAAGUCUGGUGUUAAAGCCCGGAGCUCAACUCCGGCAUGGCAUUGGAAACUGGAUUGCUAGAGUGUGGUAGAGGUAACUGGAAUUCCAGGUGUAGCGGUGAAAUGCGUAGAUAUCUGGAGGAACACCAGUGGCGAAAGCGAGUUACUGGCCCACAACUGACGCUGAGGAACGAAAGCCAGGGUAGCAAAA